rnacentral:rRNA from 1 species
GAUGAACGCUAGCUACAGGCUUAACACAUGCAAGUCGAGGGGAAACGGCAUUGAGUGCUUGCACUCUUUGGACGUCGACCGGCGCACGGGUGAGUAACGCGUAUCCAACCUUCCCAUUACUGUGGGAUAACCUGCCGAAAGGCAGACUAAUACCGCAUAGUCUUCGAUGACGGCAUCAGAUUUGAAGUAAAGAUUUAUCGGUAAUGGAUGGGGAUGCGUCUGAUUAGCUUGUUGGCGGGGUAACGGCCCACCAAGGCUACGAUCAGUAGGGGUUCUGAGGGGAAGGUCCCCCACAUUGGAACUGAGACACGGUCCAAACUCCUACGGGAGGCAGCAGUGAGGAAUAUUGGUCAAUGGACGGAAGUCUGAACCAGCCAAGUAGCGUGCAGGAUGACGGCCCUAUGGGUUGUAAACUGCCUUUGUAUGGGGAUAAAGUUAGGGACGAGUCCCUAUUUGCAGGUACCAUACGAAUAAGGACCGGCUAAUUCCGUG